CAGCGAGACCAAGAACCCACCAAUUCCGGACACGAUCUGACUUAUCCUUGUAUGUGCUAAACUCAGUCUCUACCCACAAGUGGAUUUGUAACUGGUUAAUCUGUCCAUUGGGAAUGUUUACUGUGGGCCUACCAUGUACCAGGGACUACACCAUGCUAGGAAGACCUGCAUAGAGUUUACAGCUGGUCCUAGGCGAUGCUGAUGCUGCAGGCCCAAGGAUCACACCUGGAGAAGCAUGGACACCUUGUUGUAAACAGAAGAUCUACUGCUGACCACAAGCUAGCAGCCAUGAGCUAUGGCUGAUGUAAGGAAGGACACAGAA
rnacentral:lncRNA from 1 species